UACAGGGGGUGCAAACGUUGCUCGGAAUCAUUGGGCGUAAAGCGCACGUAGGCGGUUCGUUAUGUCGGAUGUGAAAGCCCUUGGCUUAACCGAGGAAGUGCAUCCGAAACUGGCGAGCUAGAGUACGAAAGAGGAUCGCGAAUUCCGGUGUAGAGGUGAAUUCGUAGAUAUCGGAGACACGUGCGAGCGGUCUCUGGCAGUAACUGACGCUGAGAGCGAAGCGUGGGAGCAAGCAG
rnacentral:rRNA from 1 species